rnacentral:rRNA from 1 species
GACGAACGCUGGCGGCGUGCUUAACACAUGCAAGUCGAACGGUAAGGCCCUUCGGGGUACACGAGUGGCGAACGGGUGAGUAACACGUGGGUGAUCUACCCUGCACUUCGGGAUAAGCCUGGGAAACUGGGGCUAAUACCGGAUAGGACCACUGCCUGCAUGGGUGGGGGUGGAAGGCUUUUGCGGUGUGGGAUGGGCCCGCGGCCUAUCAGCUUGUUGGUGGGGUGAUGGCCUACCAAGGCGACGACGGGUAGCCGGCCGGAGGGGGUGACCGGCCACACUGGGACUGAGAUACGGCCCAGACUCCUACGGGAGGCAGCAGUGGGGAAUAUUGCACAAUGGGCGCAAGCCUGAUGCAGCGACGCCGCGUGAGGGAUGACGGCCUUCGGGUUGUAAACCUCUUUCAGCACCGACGAAGCGCAAGUGACGGUAGGUGCAGAAGAAGGACCGGCCAACUACGUGCCAGCCGCCGCCGUAA